rnacentral:rRNA from 1 species
CAGUCGCCGCGGGAAUACGAAGGGGGCUAGCGUUACUCGGAAUUACUGGGCGUAAAGCGUGUGUAGGUGGUUGUUUAAGUCUGUCGUGAAAGCCCUGGGCUCAACCUGGGAAUUGCGAUGGAUACUGGGCGACUAGAGUGCGGUAGAGGAUAGUGGAAUUUCCGGUGUAGCAGUGAAAUGCGUAGAGAUCGGAAGGAACAUCUGUGGCGAAGGCGACUAUCUGGGCCAACACUGACACUGAGACACGAAAGCGUGGGGAGCAAACAGGAUUAGAUACCCCAGUAGUCCCUGUCUCUUAUAC